rnacentral:rRNA from 1 species
CAUGAACGCUGGCGGCAUGCCUAAUACAUGCAAGUCGAACGAGAGGAAGGAAAGCUUGCUUUUCUGAAUCUAGUGGCGAACGGGUGAGUAACACGUAGGUAACCUGCCCAUGUGCCCGGGAUAACUUCUGGAAACGGAUGCUAAAACCGGAUAGGUAGCAGACAAGCAUUUGACUGCUAUUAAAGUGGCUAAGGCCAUGAACAUGGAUGGACCUGCGGUGCAUUAGCUAGUUGGUGAGGUAACGGCCCACCAAGGCGACGAUGCAUAGCCGGCCUGAGAGGGCGGACGGCCACAUUGGGACUGAGACACGGCCCAAACUCCUACGGGAGGCAGCAGUAGGGAAUUUUCGUCAAUGGGGGGAACCCUGAACGAGCAAUGCCGCGGGAGUGAGGAAGGUCUUCGGAUCGUAAAGCUCUGUUGUAAGAGAAAAACGACAUUCAUAGGGAAUGAUGAGUGAGUGAUGGUAUCUUACCAGAAAGUCACGGCUAACUACGUGCCAGCCGCCGCCGUAAUAC